rnacentral:rRNA from 1 species
GACGAACCGUGUGAACGUUGUUCGGAAUCACUGGGCUUAAAGGGCGCGUAGGCGGGCUGUCAAGUCUGGGGUGAAAUGCCGCGGCUCAACCGUGGAACUGCCUUAGAUACUGACGGCCUCGAGGAAGGUAGGGGCAUGCGGAACUGUAGGUGGAGCGGUGAAAUGCGUUGAUAUCUACAGGAACUCCGGUGGCGAAAGCGGCGUGCUGGACCUUUUCUGACGCUGAGGCGCGAAAGCUAGGGGAGCAAACGGG